AAACGUACUCCCAGAGCCUUCGAUAAUUUUUGCUAUGGCGGCUCAGGGAGUGCAUAUGCACCCCUUCAUAAACACAAUCUGAGUUUUGUGCACAGAUUUUAUGCGCAUCACUUAACAGACGUUGUUAAUUACCAAUUAAGAAAAGAAGGUCAACAUGGGACCAAAGAAAGUCAGCAACUCCUUAAACAGUGCAACAAAAACUGAAGAAAAUCAGUCACAGCCACAGCCAGUGAAGAGACAACGACCAGAUAGCAACAAGUCAUCAGUGAACAAUGUAGCCUCUUCAUCUAGUCCCAAUAGCAAGACAUUCCUAUUGGUUGCUUUGUCAUUGCUAGUGGCAACCACGGCAGUGAUACUCACCAAUGAUGAUGUGAAGAUGUUUCUAAUUCAGUUCACAUCUAUCGGGUCCAACACUUUGGAAGAGGUCGCCAAAUAUACAGAUAGUGCACAAUAUGUUGAGGAAGAAACGGAGGCUGUGAGUGAAAAGUCUAGUCAAACACAUGAUAUAGGAAAAGACUCUGCUAAAAGAAGCAAGCUUCAUGCAUCCAGUCCUGUUGAAUCAGGUACGAAAGGUGAAAAACUUGAAAAAGAAUCGGAUGAUCAGGAAACAAGGGAAGGUGUGAAUAACAUUGCAACACAAUCUGUUAAAGUAGAUGAAGUCCUGACUGAAGGUUCUGAUACAAAAAAUGUUGAGAAAGAUCACACUGAAAGUGAUGAGGCAGAUAAGGAAAUCAAGAAAGAAUCCGAAGAAGAUCAGAAAGCUAAGUCAAAGAGGGAGUCUUAUGAAAACAGUGCCAUAACAAGUAAAGGGGAUUUCAAGAUAAGGAAGAGAUUGGACGAAGCUGAUAAAGCAUUACAAAUGGGUGAGCUGAAAAAGGCUCUAGAUCUGUUUGAUGACAUCCUUAAGAACAAGUCACAGAGCCCAAGAGCUUUAUGGGGUAAAGGCCAGGUAUUAGACAAACUUGCUGAGCAACAGAAAAGCAACAAGAUGCUAGAGGAGGGCAUGGCAUUGAUGGACAAGGCCUUGAGGCUGUCAAAGACUCCCGAUCUGCUCCGCAUGAGGAUUGCAGAGAAAUUGGGCGAUCGGCAGGCAUUCAGAGGUUGGUCGCGCAAGGAAGCCGAAACUUGGAGGUACAUGAUGGAGCGUUACCCAAACAUGCCAGAGUUUCCACACAAACUGGGGACCAGCUACUUGAAAACAGGCCAAAACGAACUGGCUCGGGAACUAUUCACAAACUUAUUGAAGGAGAAUCCAGAAGACGGAUUUUCGUUGGUUCAUCUAGGUUUCAUACUAAAAAUUACUGACCUGAACUACACAGGGGCCAUACCCAUGUUGCAAAAAGGCAUUGAUUCUAGACAGCCGGGCACUCUUGACGGUCGAUUCUUUUACCAUCUUGGCGAUGCUUAUAUGAGAACAAGCAAUAACGAAAUGGCGCGUAAGGUUUAUCAAGAAGGGGCCAAGGCGGGGUUAUUUCUAUCUGCCGAUCAGCGAUCACUGUACAACGCCGAGACGAAGAUAACCGGCCGUCCAUGGUGGACACCAGCGGAAACCACGUACCUGAAAUAUCUAACGAUAUUGGAGAAUAAUUGGGAGACUAUUCGCGAUGAAGGUUUGGCGCAGCUGGAUCAGACGACAGGAUCGUUUAGUCCCGAGGAAGAGAACCUACGGGAAACUGGCGACUGGAAACAAUUUACUUUGUAUCAGAGAGGACGUAAAAACGAAAACCACUGCAGAAAGGUGCCCAGAACCUGUGCCCUACUUGACCAGAUUCCAGAAGCCAAUGGCUGCCGGCGAGGGCAAAUCAAGUACUCCGUCAUGCAUCCAGGGGUGCACGUGUGGCCUCAUACUGGGCCCACAAACUGUAGAAUUAGGGCCCACCUGGGGCUUAAGGUGCCGCAAGGACCGAGGAUACGAGUGGGCAACGAGACCAGGACGUGGAAAGAAGGCAAGUUUAUCAUAUUUGACGACUCUUUCGAGCACGAGGUCUGGCACGACGGCAUCGACUUCCGGUUGGUCCUUAUCGUCGACUUCUGGCACCCGGAAAUUCCGGAACAUGAACGCCGCUCUUUGUCGCCGAUUUAAAUUGCUGCGGUGAUUCAAAAAAAAAUAUUAACGUCAUAUUUGACUUAUUCAUAAAGUCCAGUCAUACAAUAACAAUAUGUGUGUCUGUAUAGAAAUGACUUUUUCUUACAUGGGCAAAUUCAUAGAAAGGCAAAAUGACCAAUUUUAAAACGCAUGUAAUAGAUUCCUUAACGAAUGAUUGAUAAAUAUUUAAGACAUACGGGCAGUCAUUUAUUUAAAUGUCACACAUUGUUUAGCAAGUGUAAUGGUCUUCAACGUUAUUUACAUGCCAAAUAGCAUAACACUUAAAAAAUUAUUUUUUAUCUUUUUUAGAUGUUUAUUUUACAAUUUCGCGUGUUAAACCUGUCUGCCUAACUCAGAGGUCAAUGUCACACUUAAUAGAGGUCAAAUGUUAAAGUUGGCCUGAACACAGCUUGUCCGGGCUGUAAAAUUGUCAUUCAUUUUACAAUUUUAAGAUAAUUUUUCACAAAUAAUUAAGAUAACUUUCCAUAAAUAAGCAUCAUGAGGAGACUCAGUGUCUCAUGCGUAACCCGCCCCAUUACUUCAAAGAUUAAAGUCAAACUCAGGGGUAAGACGUAAAGUUUAGCGUUAACAUAUUGUUUGUUUUUUUACAUAAGUGGAAUUUUGUGACAAGUUGAACAAAUAGGCAUUAGUGCCGCAUGGUUACAUUUGCUGUUUAGUCAAGAAUUGGCCUUUCUGAAUAAUGCUCUGUCUGUUGGAAAGCAAACCGGAUUCAUUCAUACAUUAUCAGUGCUUAUUCCACAUAUAGUUAUAUGCAUUUUUCUACCAGAAAAAGUGUGAUGUAGUGAUUCAGGAGAGUAUUAUAGUAUGUAUAUGUAGACAGUUGUUUUAUUGCCAAUUUUCAUUGGUGUUUUUGUUAUAUUGCUAUCAGUUAUAUAAUUAUGUAAAAUUGCAAAGUCCCUUGCCAUAAAGUUUGCCGAUUUUGUUUAAAGUCCCCGUUCGCGGAGAUAUUUAUGGGCAGAAUCGUAAGAAAACGUGUUUUUUAUUGAGGAUAUCACUGAAAAUCCGGUUGAAAUCGGUUGAAAACAAACAGUAUAGCGUUUUUUAUUUUUGGGUCGUGUACGGUAAAGUACGAAAACGACCUAAUUAAUAUUCAUGAGUCGACAAGUUUAUUCAAACCUAAACAAACAAAAUUGCGGAUACGGGCGCAUUUAGCGAAGCGAAUGUAACAACAAAUGCAAAUGCAUCUGUUACAGAUGGAAACUGAGUUGCAACGCUAUGUUUUUUGCUUAAUCUAUGUAUUUUUCUUCCAUAUGCUAUUAAUGUUUAGCGAAAGCUAAAUAGCAUAACUCAUGACGCUGCAAUGAUUUUCGCCUAGUGCAUGUAUUUUUGAUCAUUUAUAUAUUAUUUUAUUGAUUCAAAACCGAUUUUGUCCAGGUUUUCGAUGUCAACCUCGAUAAAAAUAUAGUUCAAUAAAUUUAUGAAGUUUAUUUGUCGCUAUAAGAUUUAUAUGAAAAACAACGAUAUAUUCCGCAAACGGUGACUUUAAAUACUGCGCUGGUACAACGAUGCUCAACCACAGUUACCCGACACCGACCAUUUUGCAAAUUCGUUUAAAGCUUAAAUGUCCGAAUUUCUUGAUAUUUUGUCAUCUUCUAAUCUCUUUAUUAUAACCACCGCGCAACGAAGCAAAUGGAUCAUCUUGAUAAACCAUUGACACAUGCCCAUUGGUCCAUCUAUUUGUCUGCAAACAUAAUCUCAUUCACUUUUGCAAAGUAAAAACUAUAAUGGAUUAUUCUUUAUUGUUGUUAGCUUUGCCUGCGCAAUUUAAAUUAUUAUAGGUUUGAAUUGUUUAAGUCUUGGGCCCUGUCAAUCUAAUGAGUACAUGCUAAUAAUAGCGCUCUCCAAUUUGCGACAUAAGGCGCUGGGGAGUGGGUAUUCGGAACGAUUUGUAAUAGUAUCAUUGCAUUUACUUACGAAACACGUGUUCGAAUAAAAGAAAGGGUAUUAAAAUAGGAAACCUGGGCCCGUAUUCGACAUCAUUUUUAACCAGGUUACCGAAGGAAAAAACUGGUUAUUAGAUUGGCGAAUGUCUGCGGGCGGGCUGGCGGGCGGGCGGAACAAGCUUGUCCGGGCCAUAACUUUGUCGUUCAUUGUCAGAUUUUAAAAUCAAUCGGCACAUUUGUUCACCAUCAUUAGACGGUGUGUCGCGCGAAAGAAUUACGUUGAUAUCUCCAAGGUCAAGGUCACAAUUUGAGUUUGAAGGUCAAAAAUGGCCAUAAAUGAGCUUGUCCGGGCCAUUACUUUGUGAUUCAUUGUGAGAUUUUAACAUCAUUUGACACAUGUGUUCACCAUUAUUAGACGGUGAGUCGCGCAAAAGAAUUACGUCAAUAUCUCCAAGGUCAAGGUCGCCACAACUAAAAAUAGAUUUUGAAACAACUAUGUAAUUAUGAACAAUCAGAAACAAUGCACAUUUUGAUUUUAAGUUGUCUCUCUUUAUCAGACUUUUUAUGCCCCCGGUAGGGUGGCAUAUAGCAGUUGAACUGUCCGUCAGUAUGUCAGUAUGUGUGUAUGUCAGUCUGUCCGUCCGUCCGUCCGUCCGAAAAAAACACUUUAACGUUGGGCCAUAACUUUUGCAAUAUUGAAGUUAGAAACUUGAUAUUUGGCAUGCAUGUGUAUCUCAUGAAGCUCCAUAUUUUGAGUAUUGGAUGUUCAAGGUCAAGGUCAUCCUUCAAAGUCAAAGGUAAAAAAAAAAAAUCAAAGCGGCGCAAUAGGGGGCAUUGUGUUUCUGACGAACACAUUUCUUUUUUUUAAAUUGAAAUCAAGGUCAAUUUUACACAAGGGGGUUAACAAUACACAUUUUGAAUUGUCUCCCUUUAUCAGACUUUUUUCAACUGAAAACCUGGUUUUGUGACAAUUUUUGUCCCUUGUCAUAGACUUUGAAGCAAUAAAAUUACGUCCAGCGAUUGAAUACAUGUAUAUUAAGUCUAUUACUGUUGAUAAUGCCAUUGAAAAAAACUGUUCUACGUGAAGAAUGAUAUGAUGUAGAUUGGGGUGGAUUUUGGAGUUCGACUCAAAAGUAAAGCUCUUCGGGUGUAUUCUUUAUUAAGACUUAAUUCUUAGAAUUGUUUCGGUGAAUACAUGCCUUGAACUCUAUUUGAUUGUCAAACAUGUUCAGUGUCAGGUUACCCCCUCCGAGCUCUCGUGAUAUCGUGUUUAUUUGUUUCAUGUUAUGUGUUAAUAUGUUGACGUCUUUAUUUUACCAGGAAGUCAGUUUAUACCCCCACGAUCAGGUUUUCAGGAAGCGACUUUCAGUUGUUGUGCUUUGCCACUUAUAUUUCAUUCCAAGAAAUGAAAGAAUUUGUAAAUUGUGUACACUUUAUGCAAUUGAAGAUGAAUACCAUUUUGUUUUGAUAUGUCUUUUAUAUGAUAAAUUUAGAAAUACACUUAUACCUGAUGUUUACAGAAGAAGAUCAAGUAUGUUUAAUUUUUUACAAUUAUUGAAAUUCAGAAUGUGACCAAAAACUCUAUACUGAUUCGUCUUGCUAAUUUGUGUAUUAAAGCAUUUACACUUAGAGCCGAAUAUAUAUAAAGAAUAUUUUUUCCUGAGAUUUGCAAGUUUGUAUAUGAUAUCUCACUGCAUAUUUUUUCUCAAUCAAUUCCGGAUUUUGAACAUCCACUUAACGUUAUUUUAAAGAAAAAGUAAAAAGUCUUCUCUUACAUUUGACAUUAACAUUCUCACAAAACAUAUAUUAGUAAAAUGCAUAAACAAAAUUGUUGUUAUUUUGACGUAUGUGUAUUUAUUAUUGCUUUAUUGUUAUUUUGACGAUGUGAUGUAUAUUAUUAAGUCGUAAAUAACCUAUCUGAUCUGUUCUAGAAUGACAUUUUUUUAACUCAAAGUAUAAUGUCUUUUAUAUAUUUUCCUUCUUUAAAGUAUAAUACCAGAAACAACAUCGCUAUUUAAAUACGACUGUAGAUAAUUGUUGAACGUUUGAAAAUGUAAGAAUAACAUGAUGCUGUUUUUUUGUUCAAUUGUGUUUUACGAUUGUAUAGUUUUCAAAAUAAAACGCCGUUGCAAGAAAAAAAAGGAGCAAUUUAACGUUUACAAAUUAAAAAAAAAAAGAUGGUGAAUAAUUGUUUAUAGUUUUAAAACUUGGCUGUGUCUUUGUUAUAAUUUCAAAUUUUUGUCACCUAAAUUGAAGAAAUCAAUUCAAAUAAAUUUUAUUUUUUAUAAUACUUGAACAAUACUUUGAGAUAUCUAAAACGACGAAAAUAGUGGCGUAUAAUUUACAAAAGUUGAUAAAUUCAAAGGCUCGACACAAAACCUGCAUUAAGUGGCGCUUAAUAGCCCAUAUUUAUUAUACACACAUUUGCAUUUUCCAUGCCAGUAAUGUUUUAAACGUCUCUACGCACACAAGUAUAAGGCAAUUCACGUAAUGCUUUUUUACCAGAUGUGUAUCUGUGAAUUGUAUUUAUUUGUACCAUGUACGUUUAUAAAAACGUGUAACAUAUGUAUGGUACACUUGCUUAGAGAUGAAACCGGAGUAAUAUUUAGUUAAAACCAUUCAACAUUACGCGCGCAUUAUAUGUGUAAUGAUUUCUCUGACAUUUACCUUAUUAUUAAGGCUUUUUAGUUGACCUGAUUGCUCAGGUAAGCUUUUCUGACCGGUCUUUGUCCGCCGUACGUCCGUCCGUCCGUUAACAUUUGCUCGUAAACACUCUAGAGGCCACAUUUCUUUUCCCAUCUUCAUGAAACUUGGUCAGAAGCUUUGCCCCAAUAAAAUCUCGGCCGAGUUCGAAACUGGGUUGUGCCGGGUCAAAAACUAGGUCACUAGGUAAAAAAAGCAAACCUUGUAGACAUUGUAGAAGUCACAUUUUAUGUUCAAUCUUCAUGUAAUUAUGUCAAAAUGUUUGUCUUAAUGAUAUAUUGACUGAGUUCAAAAGUGGUUCCGGUGUAUUGAAAACCAUGGCCGCCAGUGGGCGGGGCAGUUUUCCUUAUUUGGCUAUAGAGAAACAUUGUAAACACUCUAGAAGUCACAAUUUUUGCCCAAUCAUCAUGAAAGGUGGUCAAAACAUUGAUUUAAUUGAUAUAUCGGACGAGUUCGAAAAUGGUACAAAUCGGUGAAAAAACAUGGCCGCCAGUGGGCGGGGCAUUUUUCUCUAUAUGUAUUUAGUGACAGUUUUCCCUAUUUGGCUAUAGAGAAACCUUGUUAACACUAUAGAAGUCACAAUUUUUGUCAAAUCAUCAUGAAAGUUUGUCAAAACAUUGGUUUUAUUGAUAUCUCGGACGAGUUCGAAAAUAGUCCAGAUCGGUGAAAAACAUGGCCGCCAGUGGGCGGGGCAUUUUUCUUUAUAUGUAUAUAGUGGCAGUUUUCCCUAUUUGGCUAUAGAGAAACCUUGUAAACACUCUAGAAGUCACAAUUGUUUGCCCAAUCAUCAUGAAAGUUGGUCAAAACAUUGGUUUUAUUGAUAUCUUGGACGAGUUCGACAAUGGUUCGGAUCGGUGAAAAAACAUGGCCGCCAGUGGGCGAGGUAUUUUCCUCUAUAUGUAUAAAGUGAAAACGUUAACACUAGAAGACACAUUUUUGACCUGUAUUGACUUUCAGGUCACUAGGUCAAGGUCACGGUUACUUGACACAGUAAAAUGGUUUUUGGAUGAUAACUCAAGAAAGCUUACGCCUAGGAUCAUGAAACAAUAUAAUGGUCAAGUUGAUAUAUUUUUUUUAUUAAAUCAAUCAAAAAUGGAAUUUAUCAUGUAGAUGUUUUGGACAUCUUAUAACUUUGUUAUCCAUCUGACAUAUGUGCAUUAUAAUCAUUGCAUCUUUUUUAAAGAUGUUUGUGAUUUAAAUUUUUGUUUGCUUUGGUAAUUUAACACAAAGCACUAAAUUGACAAUUUUCAGACAGACUAACAGUGGGCUGACCUUGAGACGAUGCAAGAUGGAAUGUAAUUUAUUUGUUUGUUUUGUAAUUAAAAAUCUUAACACGUCAACUAUGAAAACACUAUACAAUUAGUAUUUUGUUAUCAGACUAGGACACUACAGUUCAUAUGUGCUCUAAAAUCUACAAGUACACUAGAACAAACACACGCAACUCAAUUUGAUAUUAACCCAUUGAUGCCUAACAUUGAUUAUGAGAGAGAGGAAGGAAUGAGUCAUGCUUAAGGAUACACACAUUGAUUGUUUAUGAAGUUAAUGUAUUGGAUCAGGAAUAACAUUUUGCUGUAAUUUGUUGGUGUGUGAGCUCUGGUCAACAGGCUAUGUUUAAAGAAGAUAUUAUCAAUGGAUAUAUGCUACUGCUGAUAAAGGGUUCUAAAAUAUACAGCUACAUGUACCAAAUUUAGGUUUGGAAUGUAAAUUGCUAACUGUUCGCUACAUUGAUCAUGACUCACCAAUGACCUGUAUUGAUCUUCUCAUCACUAGGUCAAAGAAGGCAGUCACAGUGAUUCAAAAUGCAAAUUGGUUUUCAAAUGAUAACUCAGAAACACUUUCACCUAAGAUAAAGACUUCAUAGGUACAUUGAUCAUAAUUAUAAAAAUACCCCUUUUGAAUUUCAAAUCACUACAUCAAAGAUCAACAUCACAGUGACUCAAAACAAUAAAAUUGUUUCUUGAUAUUUACUGACAAUACUUACGCCUAGAUUCAUGAUCUUCAUAGUUACAUUGAUCAUGACUGGCAGAUGACCAACAUAAUGUUCAAGUCACUAGGUCAAACGUCUUAAUAACAAUGACUCAACACUGUAAAAUGGUGUCCAGAUGACAACUCAAGAAACCAAGGUCAAAAGUCAAAGUCACAAUGACUAAUAUAUUCAUGUUCACACAAUGGCUGCCAUUACAACUGACAGCCCAUAUGCAGACAUGCAUUUUUUACAAACAGCCUCAUACAUUUGGUAAAAAUUCAAUGAACACACUCUUCUCAUGUGAGCGAACUAGGACCAUCGUGGCCCUCUUGUUUAUUCAUAGUGUUUAAAUUGUAGCAUUGUUUCACUGUAGUUUAAUGUGGCAUACAAUUACAUAUUAACGCACGUUCAAUGUUCAAUGGUUUUAAAGGAAUAGUAAGUGCAAUAAAUGUAUUUUUAUA